rnacentral:rRNA from 1 species
UACAGAGGGGGGCAAGCGUUGUUCGGAAUUACUGGGCGUAAAGGGCGCGUAGGCGGCCUGCUAAGUCGAACGUGAAAUCCCCGGGCUCAACCCGGGAACUGCGUCCGAUACUGACAGGCUUGAAUCCGGGAGAGGGAUGCGGAAUUCCAGGUGUAGCGGUGAAAUGCGUAGAUAUCUGGAGGAACACCGGUGGCGAAGGCGGCAUCCUGGACCGGCAUUGACGCUGAGGCGCGAAAGCCAGGGGAGCGAACAGG